CCUACGGGUGGCAUCCUUGGGGAAUAUUGGACAAUGGGGGCAACCCUGAUCCAGCCAUGCCGCGUGUGUGAAGAAGGCCCUCGGGUUGUAAAGCACUUUCAGUGAGGAAGAACGCCUGGUGGUUAAUACCCAUCAGGAAAGACAUCACUCACAGAAGAAGCACCGGCUAACUCCGUGCCAGCAGCCGCGGUAAUACGGAGGGUGCGAGCGUUAAUCGGAAUUACUGGGCGUAAAGCGCGCGUAGGUGGCUUGAUAAGCCGGUUGUGAAAGCCCCGGGCUCAACCUGGGAACGGCAUCCGGAACUGUCAAGCUAGAGUGCAGGAGAGGAAGGUAGAAUUCCCGGUGUAGCGGUGAAAUGCGUAGAGAUCGGGAGGAAUACCAGUGGCGAAGGCGGCCUUCUGGACUGACACUGACACUGAGGUGCGAAAGCGUGGGUAGCAAACAGGAUUAGAUACCCGUGUAGUC
rnacentral:rRNA from 1 species